UCUGAUGACGACAUUGAUGUCCAAUUUCCUAAAGUUUUGCAAACUCCAGUGCCAGUCAGAUGACUGAAGAGGACCACUGCCCUCAGCAGAAAGGGGAUGUCCAGUGUCCUAUAUGUGGCAUAUCCUUCCCAGUCCUGCUUAUCUAAGAACAUGCUAGCCAUUGUGGCCAAAGAACGGAGGACACAACCUCACCUGAGAGGGAACUCCAUACUGAGACAGAUGAUAUCUCAUGGUAUGUCCGAGUUUUUAUUAAUGUAGCAUGUAAGGGAUUGUUCACUCCAAAAUGAAAAUGCACCCAUUAUCUAGACACCCUUGUGCGAAUGGAACUG